GUAGCGAGCUUAACCGAGUAGGGGAGGCGUAGGGAAACCGAGUCCGAAUAGGGCGCAUAGUUGCUGGGCGUAGACCCGAAACCAAGUGAUCUAUCCAUGGCCAAGGUUGAAGGUGCCGUAACAGGUACUGGAGGACCGAACCCACUAGUGUUGCAAAACUAGGGGAUGAGCUGUGGAUAGGGGUGAAAGGCUAAACAAACUUGGAAAUAGCUGGUUCUCUCCGAAAACUAUUUAGGUAGUGCCUCACGUAUCACUCUCGGGGGUAGAGCACUGUCAUGGCUAGGGGGUCAUCGCGACUUACCAAACCAUAGCAAACUCCGAAUACCGAGAAGUGCGAGCGUGGGAGACAGACAUCGGGUGCUAACGUCCGGUGUCAAGAGGGAAACAACCCAGACCGCCAGCUAAGGUCCCAAAUGACGUGCUAAGUGGUAAACGAAGUGGGAAGGCAUAGACAGCCAGGAUGUUGGCUUAGAAGCAGCCAUCAUUUAAAGAAAGCGUAAUAGCUCACUGGUCGAGUCGUCCUGCGCGGAAGAUGUAACGGGG
rnacentral:rRNA from 1 species